UCGAGCGGUAUUGUUUCUUCGGAAACGAGAGAGCGGCGCACGGGUGCGGAACACGUGUGCAACCUGCCUUUAUCUGGGGGAUAGCCUUUCGAAAGGAAGAUUAAUACCCCAUAAUAUUUUGAAUGGCAUCAUUUAGAAUUGAAAACUCCGGUGGAUAGAGAUGGGCACGCGCAAGAUUAGAUAGUUGGUAGGGUAACGGCCUACCAAGUCAGUGAUCUUUACGGGGCCUGAGAGGGUGAUCCCCCACACUGGUACUGAGACACGGACCAUACUCCUACGGGAGGCAUCAGUGAGGAAUAUUGGACAAUGGGUGAGAGCCUGAUCCAGCCAUCCCGCGUGAAGGACGACGGCCCUAUGGGUUGUAAACUUCUUUUGUACGAGGAUAAAGCUUUCCACGUGUGGAAAGCUGAACGUACUGUACGAAUAAGCACCGGCUAACUCCGUGG
rnacentral:rRNA from 1 species